UAUAUAUAUGCGCAUGCGUGUGUGUGUGUGUGUGUGUGUGUGUGUAUAUGACUCCUUAUUUUGAAGAGGGAAAGCAAAAUGCAGGCUGGGCCUUCCUUUACAUGUUCAGCAAGUUUUGGUUUUUUUUUGUUUUUUGGGUUUUUUUGUUGUUGUUGUUUUUUAAGCGAUGGUGAGAGGGACUCACUGUGGCCGACAGUGCUAAUCGAACCGUGAGGACUGUUGACACAAUGCAGUGAGUAGUCCUGACUGCAGCAAUUUCUUGUGCUGGCCUCUUUCAGGCCGCCACUUUUGAAUUCAGUGAGUGCCAAAGUUAGGAAAAGUUCAGAUUUUUUAUUUUAUUUUUUGGUGGGAGGGUUGGGAGUGGUAGUUUGAGUUUUGGCAGGUUCUCUGGCCACUAUUUGUACACACGCUCUUCUUUCGGUUGUUGCAGAUUUACACCUAAUCGUACAUGUAGCACUUUUGUACAAGAUAAACGCAUUGGCAUGUUCAACUGGCAAUACUAUCAACCGCGGAACUUUGAGCAUGGAGGGAGGGAGAAACAAACGAAGAAGAAAAUCAUCAGCACGCAAUCAAACACACAUAUGCAAGUGGAAAGCAGGAAAAUUCUUACGGAAGAUAUUUUGGAAUAAGACUCAGGGCUUUUCGGUGAGGACCAAACACUAGCUGCUUGCAGGCACUAGGAACAGGCAAUAUUUACGUGUGUAUUCUUGACCCCGUUUUCAUGAGUUCGACCCCUUUGGCGUGUAUAUAGAAGGUGACAUCGAAGUCUGAGCAGGUAGCGUGGUUGCCAGUGUGAUUUGCGGCAUCAUCCUUGACCAACCUCCACUUAGGCCGUCAUCCAUGCAACACGCUGCCUCCUCAUCCCAAAAAGCCAUCAUUAUAUUAUCAUUUCUUGUGCUAUAUUCUCAUUUCUCUCUUUAAAUGUGUAGGACUGUGUGUUCUUAUGUAUCAUUUAUAUAUUUCUAUGUUGCCAAAAUGUCUCGUUUGGCAAUCAGUGGUGGGAAAAGCAGCUGAAUUUUACUGAACAUAAUUUUACUUUUUUUUUCUCUUGAAAGCAAUAUGUCGCGACGUGACGGGAGGGCCCAUAACGUGAAUUUGGGCAGGUCUCCUCAUUUUCAGUUGUGUGUGUGUGUGUGUGUGUGUGUGUGUGUGUGUGUGUGUGUGUUGAAGCCCAAAAUCAUUCAUACCUAAGCCACAUUUUGAUUUCAUAUGAACUGUUUUCCGUUGAAUGCAUAUACUUAGCUGGAAAUGACUCAAGAAAGGGGUAAUGUUGGCAUUCAUAAAUUUUCAAACAUUUACAUCCUUUCUUUUACACCUUUGUCAAAUGUUGUGGAUCAGUGAUUCUCAAACAUUUUAUACCAAUAACACGUAAACAAAUUUAAUCAGCCAAUGUGACAUUAUUCACAGUGGAAAUGAACAUUCACACUGCGCCCAAAUAUCAUAAAAUAAAAAAUAAUCAUUCA